UACGUAGGGUCCGAGCGUUGUCCGGAAUUAUUGGGCGUAAAGGGCUCGUAGGCGGUUUGUCGCGUCGGGAGUGAAAACCUACAGCUUAACUGUGGGCUUGCUUUCGAUACGGGCAGACUAGAGGUAUGCAGGGGAGAACGGAAUUCCUGGUGUAGCGGUGAAAUGCGCAGAUAUCAGGAGGAACACCGGUGGCGAAGGCGGUUCUCUGGGCAUGAUCUGACGCUGAGGAGCGAAAGUGUGGGGAGCGAACAGG
rnacentral:rRNA from 1 species